AACGCACCUUGCGCCCUUUGGUAAUCCGAGGGGCAUGCCUGUUUGAGUGUCUUGAAGCUCUCAAACAUUUAUUUACUUAAAUGUUUGGAUUUGGGUGUUCUUUGCCGGUCGCAAGAUCGGCUCACCCUAAACGCAUUAGCUGGGGUCUGCAUUGUCGGUCCUUGGCGUGAUAAGUUGUUUCUACGUCUUGGAUUUUUGGCGCUGUACACCUGCUUCUAACCGUCUUCAUUGACAACGAUGGUGUUCCGGUCGCCGCCGAUUUUUCGGUGGGAGGCUUGACCCACGAAACAAACCUUGACCUCAAAUCGGGUGAGACUACCCGCUGAACUUAA
rnacentral:rRNA from 1 species